rnacentral:lncRNA from 1 species
GUGUGUGCAUGUGCAAAUAUGUGUUGCUGGCAGACAUGAUGCUGAAAUAUUAUAGCCAAGUCCAGGUUUGACCGCUGGCAUUUUGUUCUAACCAACUCAGUGGCCUUAGGGCAGACACUCUAACCACAAGGUUGGGAGUUCAAUCCCCUGCUGAAUCAUACCAAAGGGUGUAAAAAUGGAACCAGAUGCGUCUCUGUUUGGCACUCCGCAUUAAGGAGCUAGAUUGAAGAGACGCUCACUUACUCCUCAUCCAGGGAACUCCGUGCAUGACCAGAGAUCCAGCACAAGAGAUGGUACUAAUGAAGGCGAGGACAGGGACAGGCUUGUAUUCACUUGCGUGCCUUCUCAUGAUCAGUAGUGUCUGUUCUACCUGUGUUCCCUUUAUGUGUCUAAGGUGCAACUUAACCCACUCACCUGGAAUAUCUGCCACGGGAUUACUAGACAAGGCCAUGUGUGACACCCUGUGCUCAGACACUCACCAAUGCUUCAAUGCUACUGAUUUUAAAGUGCUACUGAACACCAGUUCUGGGUUCAAAGUGGUGGAGGGUGCUGACCUCAUCAUUGAGUGUGCCCAUAACCUGCCGGUGGAACCAAAAAUCCCGCUGGUGUUUGUCUGGCUGAUGGAUGGCGUCUCCCUGACGGGCGAGAACAGUAGCCAGCUCACCGUGAAGAAGGUCGGCAUAGCUACCUCUGGCAAGAAUAAAUACGCCUGCACCAUCCAGAGUCCCUGUGGCAACUUCACCUCAGAUCCAAAGGAGAUUGAAUUUGAAGACACGACGCUGUUGGUCAUAGUGAUCUGUGGUGUGUCUGCUGUGGUGCUGAUCCUGGCCAUGGGUAUAGGCAUGAAGAUCAUGCUGAAGAAGGAAUUUGCAAAGACCAAGAACAGGAGGCAGCAGAAUGCUCAGAACCUACAGAGAACUACCACAACAGAGUAGUGUUUCAUUUUCUGCAAAUUCCACCAAAUGUCCUUCAUGCGAAAAUGGCAAAAAUCUGACAUGAUUACACUGUGAAUGGAGAAAUAUGUAGCUAACAAUUUAUAGUUGUAUUUGCUGCAAUUUAAUCAACAUAACACUGACGUUGAGAUAAUUUUAUGAUGGAAGAGCCACAGAUGCAUAUGUUAAUCCUCUGGCAGUGACACACAGCUAGUUUGGAGAUUUGUCCCAAUAAAUAAUAUGCCAAAUUCAUGAUAUUUAAUAAUAAACAUUUACAUGUGGAUGAUGUUUCUAUUUAUAUAAUGAAUGGGGCCUAACAUAAGUGUCCAGAGGCUGCGUGUAGCCUACACAUGAUAGUCAGCAGUUACAUUUAUAGAAGCCAGGUAAGUAGGCUAAGUGAUGUUUUCUAUUGGGUACUUUAUGUAGAGUAGCCUAAAAAUAGUAAAAUAAUAAAUAAAAUAGCUGCUAGCGUUGUGACGACGUCAAUAAUGAAUGACGCAAGAGUUGUCCAGUUCCUGCAGCUAUCCCCACUUCACAUUAGUGCAGCAUAGAACUCAUAUAUUACUGAGCCCGAGUAGCCGUCAUUUUUUUUCUCUGCCAUCUGGAAGGUGCUUGGUUGAGAAAUCUAUGGCUACUGACCAGAUCAACAUGCCUACAUUCUCAGCAAUCUACACACAAUACCCCAUAAUGACAAAGCG